rnacentral:tRNA from 1 species
CCCUGGCUGGCUCAGUCAGUAGAGCACAUGACUCUUGAUUUCAGGGUCGUGGGUUCAAGUCCCACGUUGGGUG